rnacentral:rRNA from 1 species
UCUAACCAUGCACGUCGAGCGGUAACAUGUAUUAGCUUGCUAGUACGAUGACCGAGUGGCGGACGGGUGAGUAAUGCUUGGGAACUUGCCUUUGCGAGGGGGAUAACAGUUGGAAACGACUGCUAAUACCGCAUAAUGUCUACGGACCAAACGGGGCUUAGGCUCCGGCGCAAAGAGAGGCCCAAGUGAGAUUAGCUAGAUGGUGAGGUAAAGGCUCACCAUGGCGACGAUCUCUAGCUGUUCUGAGAGGAAGAUCAGCCACACUGGGACUGAGACACGGCCCAGACUCCUACGGGAGGCAGCAGUGGGGAAUAUUGCACAAUGGGGGAAACCCUGAUGCAGCCAUGCCGCGUGUGUGAAGAAGGCCUUCGGGUUGUAAAGCACUUUCAGUUGUGAGGAAAAGUUGGUAGUUAAUACCUGCCAGCCGUGACGUUAACAACAGAAGAAGCACCGGCUAACUCCGUGCCAGCAGCCGCGGUAAUACGGAGGGUGCGAGCGUUAAUCGGAAUUACUGGGCGUAAAGCGCACGCAGGCGAUUUGUUAAGCUAGAUGUGAAAGCCCCGGGCUCAACCUGGGAUGGUCAUUUAGAACUGGCAGACUAGAGUCUUGGAGAGGGGAGUGGAAUUCCAGGUGUAGCGGUGAAAUGCGUAGAUAUCUGGAGGAACAUCAGUGGCGAAGGCGACUCCCUGGCCAAAGACUGACGCUCAUGUGCGAAAGUGUGGGUAGCGAACAGGAUUAGAUACCCUGGUAGUCCACACCGUAAACGCUGUCUACUAGCUGUGUGUGAAUUUAAUUCGUGCGUAGCGAAGCUAACGCGCUAAGUAGACCGCCUGGGGAGUACGGCCGCAAGGUUAAAACUCAAAUGAAUUGACGGGGGCCCGCACAAGCGGUGGAGCAUGUGGUUUAAUUCGAUGCAACGCGAAGAACCUUACCUACCCUUGACAUGCAGAGAACUUUCCAGAAAUGGAUUGGUGCCUUCGGGAACU